GAGCUUGGAUACUGAGGGACCACCAACCAUGAUAGAGACCAUCUGUAUCAGAUAAGAUCCUUUUAUUAAUAGGCAACAGAAAUAUCAACUAGAACUGGCUUUAAAAGUACAGAAAUUGGCCAGGCAUGGUGGUGCAAGCCUGUAAUCCCAGCUACUUGGGAGGCUGAGGCAGGAGAAUCUCUUGAAGCCAGGAGGCAGAGGUUGUGGUGAGCCAAGAUGGUGCCAUUGCACUCCAGCCUGGGCAACAAGAGCAGAACUCCAUACACUGAAAGUAUACUUGAACAGUUCCAACUGUACAUACUGUAUGAAGCUUGUCCUCUGACUAGGUUUCUUAUUUCUAUGUGGAAUUGCAUAUCUUGCAGCAUUCCAUAAGGAAGAUGAGGUUCCAGUAAGAUGACUUGCUCAAGGUCACAAGGAAGAAAAAGUGUUCCCUGAUGUUCAUGACCGGAUUCCCCUUGUAUCCCAUUGGCCACAAUGGAAUCAUGCAACCAGAUCCCAGCUGCAAGAGAGGUUGAGAAGAGUAUCAUGGGGAUUCAGAGCUGGUUCUGUCAACCUUCGAUGGGCUCCACAUUCAAAGAUACCCACAUUGUGGCCAGGCUGUCUGUGUGAAGAAAUAAGAUCAUCUGUAUUCUCAGAGUGAACCAGGACUGGAGCAAAACCUCAGGUUACACGAAACAGAGCACUUUACAGUUUGUAAAGCACUUUAUAGCCUGGACAGUAACAUGGCUCUUUACACCUCCAUGUGAAGCAGUCAAAGAAAUCAUUGAAGCUUAGCCCUUUUGUUGACGAAUGAAAGAGUGAGCCUGGAAGAGUGAAGCCUGGAAGAGUGAGCCUGGAAGAGUGAGCCUGGAAGAGUGAAGCCUGGAAGAGUGAGCCUGGAAGAGUGAAGCCUGGAAGAGUGAGCCUGGAAGAGUGAAGCCUGGAAGAGUGAGCCUGGAAGAGUGAAGCCUGGAAGAGUGAGCCUGGAAGAGUGAACCUGGAAGAGUGAAGCCUGGAAGAGUGAGCCUGGAAGAGUGAGCCUGGAAGAGUGAAGCCUGGAAGAGUGAGCCUGGAAGAGUGAAGCCUGGAAGAGUGAGCCUGGAAGAGUGAACCUGGAAGAGUGAGCCUGGAAGAGUGAGCCUGGAAGAGUGAGCCUGGAAGAGUGAACCUGGAAGAGUGAAGCCUGGAAGAGUGAGCCUGGAAGAGUGAAGCCUGGAAGAGUGAAGCCUGGAAGAGUGAGCCUGGAAGAGUGAGCCUGGAAGAGUGAACCUGGAAGAGUGAACCUGGAAGAAUGAAGCCUGGAAGAGUGAGCCUGAAGAGUGAAGCCUGGAAGAGUGAGCUAUUUUGCCGAGCCAGAUGUAUAGCCUGAGCGGCCUGCUCUCCCACUGCCCAGGCCUCAUUCUGAACAGUGUGGGAGGCUUCUUUACCCCAGCUUGCAUUCCGAGGCAGGUUUUGGAGUAUGUGGGCUGAGAAGCAGAGACUGGCAGCAAGAUGUGGGCUCAGGAAGCGGGAGGAGCCACGCAGAGAACGGGGGUGAGGGGAGCCACAGGGGGAGGUGAAGGAGGAGGCAUUUUUGUCACCGUGAAUCACAUUUUCCACUUGAAAUAGGAGCUGAGACUUUCUGAGGGGGCAAAAUGCAACAUACAAUGGAGGUGAGCAGGUGGGAAAUUACAUGGCUCAUAUUUAAUUAUGCAAAAUCCCAUAAUCCCUCAGGGAGCACAAAGGACAUGAGGUGGUGAUUUUCCUCCUCUCAUAAUCUUGGAGCCACUUUAUUAAAUGACAGAAAGAAUAAUGCGGCCAGGGAGGAAAAAAUUAUGUGGUCAGAGAACUAAAGAUAAUUUCACAGCUUUCGCAUUCCAUUCCACGCCUUCCUUCUUGGCUGUUCUGAGCUGCAACGCUGGCCUUAAUGUAAGGAUAAACAGGUAUCCUUACAGCAUCAUAGAGACAUGCACAGUCUUUAGUUUAGAACUCCACAUCCCCUUAUUUUACAUCUAAUGUUGAAAGAGAGUGAGCCUGAGCUACAGAGAGAGAGAGAAAAAAUAGCUGCUUCUGCUAAUUAUGGUCUUAGUUGUGUCUUCCCCCCCAAAUCCCAAAUUAAUAUGUUGAAGUCCUAACUCCCACCACCUCACAAUGUGACUGUAUUUGCAGAUAGGGUCUUUAAAGAGGGGAUUAAAUUAAAAUGAGCUGUUUGAGGUGGACUCCAUCUGACUGGUGUCCUUAUAAAAAGGGAAAAAUUGGACACACAGAGACACCACGAAUGCAGACACAGAGCAAAGACCACACGGGGCACAGCAAGAAGAUGGCUGUCUGCAAGCCAAGGAGAGAGGCCACUGGAGAAACUCAACCAGCCAGUACCUUGACCAUGGACUUCUAUAUUCCAGAGCUGCGAGGAAACAAAUGCCCACUGUUGAAGCCACCCAGCCUGUGCUUUUUGUUAGGGGAGCCCUAGAAAAUGAAUGCAGAUUUUGGUCCGGAGAAGUGGGACGCUGAUGUAACCAGUGCCUAAAAAUGUGGAAAUGCCUUUGGUGUUGAGUAUUAGCUAGAGGCUGGAGAGUUGUGAAGCACAUGGUGUUAUAGAAAAUGCCUAGAUCGUGGUGGAGAGACUCGAUAGAAAUAUGGAUGCUAAAGCUGCUUCUUUGAGGCCUCAGAUGGAGAUAAAGAACACGCUAUUGGACACUGGAGAGGAGGAGAUCCUUGUUAUAAGUGGCAAAGAGCUUGUCUGAAUUGCGUUCUAGUGUUUUGCAGAAGGUGGAACUUGUGAGUGAAGCACUUGGAUAUUUGGCAGAGGAGAUUUCAGAAAUCAAAACUGUGGAAGCACAGUAUUGAGGGUGCAGCGGCUUUCUCCUGAUUGCUUAUGGUAAAAUGCAACAGGAGAGACAGACAUUGAAGAAGAAAGUGUUAAGCAACACAGAACCAAAACUCAAAGAUUGGGAAAUUUCUCAGCCUACCCAUAUUGCAGAAAGUGAGAAAGCUUGUUCUAGAGAGAAUCCCAAGGGUGUGACUUGACAGUCACAUGAGAAAGAGACUGUGGGUGUCACUCAGGGAUCUCCCAACCAUCUCAGCCUGGGUACCCAUCAAUGAUGGAUUGGAUAAAUAAAAUGUGGUACAUAUACCCCACGGAAUACUAUACAGCCGUAUAAAAGAACAAAAUCAUGUAAUUUUCAGCAACAUGAAUGCAGCUGGAGGCCAUAUUCUAAGUGAAUUAAUGCAAAAACAGAAAUGCUGCCAGCUUGGACUGAAGCUCAGAGAUGAAAGAAAGGCUGUCAGACAGGCCGGGCAUCGUGGCUCAUGCCUGUAAUCCCAGCACUUUGGGAGGCCAAAGCAGGCAGAUCAUGAGGUCAGGAGUUUGAAACCAGCCUGAACAACGUGGCGAAGCCCUGUCUCUACUAAAAAUACAAAAAAAUCAGCAGCUGGGAGUGGUGGUGGGCACCUGCAAUCCCAACUACUGAGGCUGAGGCAGGAGAAUCGCUUGAACCUGGGAAUCAGAGGUUGCAGUGAGCCAAGAUCGCACCACUGCACUCCAGUCUAGGUGACAGAGUGGGACUCUGCUUCAAGAAAGAAAGAGAGAGAGAGGGGGGAGAGAAAGAGAAAAAGAGAAAGAAAGAGACAGAAAGAAAGAAAAAGAAAAGAAGGAAGGAAUGAAGGUCAUCAGACUUCUGGGAUUCUACAGGGCAGGACAUUAGAGUUACCCAGGGAAUAGCAGUUGUUAUCCUUCAAUAAAAGAAAAGAAUGACCACAAAGGCAAGGCUACUUCCUUGUCGUUCCAGGUAACGACAAGGGACUCAUGAACCUUUCUUCUUUUUCCCCUUUGGAACUGGAAUGUCCAUAUUAUGCCUGUGUCACCAUUGUAUUUUGGAAGAAGAUAACUUUUUUGGUUUAAUAGGUUCACAGCUGGGCCAUUCACAAUAGAAAGACAUGGAAUCAACCUAGGUUCCCAUCAGUGGUGGGUUGGAUAAAUAAAAUAUGCUGUGUUUACACCAUGGAGUAAGACACAGCCAUAAAAAGAACAACAGCAUGUCUCUUUCAGCAACAUGAAUGCAACUGGAGGUCACUAUGCUAAGUGAAUUAAUGCAGUAACAGAAAAUUGAACACCCUAAGUUCUCACUUAUGAGUGGGAGCUACACCUUGGGUACGCAUGGACAUAAAGCUAGGGAACAAUAGACACUAGGGACCCCCAAAAAAGGGAAGAAGAAAGUGGGAAAGAGCUGAAAAACUACCUAUUGGUGCUGGGCAUUGUGGCUCACACCAGCGAUCCCAGCUACUCAGGAGGCUGAGGCACAAGAAUCCCUUGAACCUGGGAGGUAUAAGCUGCAGUGAGCUGAGAUUGUGCCACUGCACUCCAGCCUGGGCGACAGAGCGAGCCUCUGUCCCCAAAACAACAACAACAACAAAAUAACAUAACAAAACUAUCGGAUACGAUGCUCGCUGUCUGGGUGACGGGAUCACUGGAAGCCCAAACCUUAGCAUCAUGCAGUAUACCCUUGUGACAAACCUCCAUGUGUACCCCCAGAUCUAAAAUAAAAAUGAAAAAAAAUAGCUUCACAGCUUGAGAGGAGUUCUGCCUCAGAAUGAAUCACACCUUAAGUAUCAGCCACACCCGAUUUAGAUAAGAUUUGGAACUUAGAAUUCAUGCCAGCACAGGUUAAGACUUGCAGGGUGUGGGGAUGAGGGUGAAUGUAUUUUACACGUGAGAAGGAUGUGAAUUUUGGGAGUCCAGAGGGCAGAGUGUUAUGGGUUGAAUUGCAUUUCCACAAAAUGUAUAUGUUUAAGCCCUAACUGCAGUACCUCAGGAUGUGACUAUAUUUGGAGGGGAGGUCUUUAAAGAGGUGAUUAAGUGAAGAGGAAGCUGUUAGGGUGGGCUUUAAUGCAACCUGACUCAUGGCUUUGUAAGAAGAUGCAAUUUGCACACACACGGAGACUCCCUUAAUGUGGGCACACAGAGCAAAGACCAUGUGAAGACAUGGAAAAGGAGGGCAUCUGCCAGCCAACGAGACAGGCUUCAAAAGAAACUAAACCCGCUGGCUCCUUGACCUAGGACUUCUUGCAUCCAGGACUGUGAGAAAGUAAAUUUCUCCCGGUUAAGCCAGCCAGUCUAGACGUAUUUUGUUAUGUCAAUCGUGGCAACCUAAUGCACUGCAAAAAAGAGGACCAGGUUGAGAGCUAGACUUGAACCUUGAUUCUGCCUGGGGAGGCUGCUGUCUACACACAGGAAUUCCACUCUCCAGGCAGCAGUGACUGCUGGUGCGUGCUCCAAACUGGGUUUAAAGGAUUGACUCCAAUGUAGAUGCUUCCCCAUGGUCUUGGACAGCCAAGCUGGGAGGUCACUCCUCCAAACUGUCCUUGGCAGACUGAGUGAGUGAUUGGAAGAGCUAAGCUGGGAUGCUAGCCUGCAAUGGACCCACGUCUACUCUGCGUGGCCAAGUGGAGGCUGUGUUUAGACUUCCCGAGAUCCAGAGAGAACUGGAUUCUAACCGUCUCUACAAAAGAUUGAAAAUAAAUAGCUGUGCACGGUUGUCACUGAGUAUCUCAGCCUCAAAAUAAAUUUUAAAACUUUUUGUUUUUUUCUUUUUUGCUUUCAGCCUCGAAACAUACUUUGGGAAACUCCUUGUUCCUGCCUUUCCCACCAGGCACUUCAGUGCUUGCUUAUCUAAUUAUGUGCUUGCUUAGAAAUUCCAGGGGCCAAUUUCGAAACAAAGGAGGCAGAGAGACCCAGCUGCAGAAUCCUCCCUCUUAGGGGAAGUUACAGUUAGCCCACCACUUCCGGGUUGAAGUCGGGGUAAUGCAAACCAGAUCCCCAGAUGGUUGAUUCCUCAGGAUAACACUUGGGAACAAGACAGGCAGACCCACACCCUCUUGUACCACUCUGCUGUGUUUCCCACACCUUUUCCUUGUUAAAUCCCUUCACUCAGCCCACAGGACUGAGAUGUCUUCCUUGAGGUGGAAUCCUGGUUAUCUCCCAUCUGCUGGCAUUUGAUUAAUAAAGUUGCUUUAUUUUCACCAGACCUGUCUUAUAUUUUCAGCCUCUGAGCAGUGAGCACCUGGACUUACAUGAUGGUACAUGAGUGUAGGCCCAGCUACUCAGGAGACAGAGGCGGGAGGAUCACUUGAGCCCAUGCAGUCAAGGCUGCAGUGACCUAUGACUGCACCAUUUCCCUCCAGCCUGGGCGACAGAGUGAGACCUCAUCUCUAAAAAAAAAAAACCAAAAUCAAACAAACAAAAUUAAAAAAAAGGAUUUCAUUCGCAACACAACGGAUUCAGAUUUGAUCUAGAGAAGAUGUUUCGAGCAGGGAAAAGGUACAUCCCAAAUGGGCCCUAAAGAGUUUGCAAGCAGCCCAGAUGAUGGCCCUAUAGGUGACAGGGGUCAGGACACAGGUCUUGGUCUCUGGGUGCAGAGGGGUAGGUCCUAGAUGGGCUCAAUUCUUCAAUGGUUUCCCCGAGCACAAAUUCAGAAUUCCUUCUGCUCUGGUGGGAACCCUGAAGUGGAGAGAUGCACUUUUCAAUCACUUUAAUUCCAUACUGAUGAUUUUUUUUUAAUUGUA